GAUGAACGCUGGCGGCGUGCCUAACACAUGCAAGUCGAGCGAGAACUUAUGUAAAGAAACUUCGGUAGAUUUACAAAAGGGAAAGCGGCGGACGGGUGAGUAACGCGUAGGCAACCUGCCCCAUACAGGGGGAUAGCCACCGGAAACGGUGAUUAAUACCUCAUAAAGCAUAGAUAACACAUGUUAAAGAUGUCAAAGAGAAUUCGGUAUGGGAUGGGCCUGCGUCUGAUUAGUUAGUUGGUGAGGUAACGGCUCACCAAGGCGACGAUCAGUAGCCGACCUGAGAGGGUAGGCGGCCACAUUGGAACUGAGACACGGUCCAGACUCCUACGGGAGGCAGCAGUGGGGAUUCUUGCACAAUGGGCGAAAGCCCUGAUGCAGCAACGCCCGUGUGAAUGAAAGAAAACCCCUUAGGGUGGGAAAAUUUCUGUUCCUAAUUUUU
rnacentral:rRNA from 1 species